GCAGGGGUUCCGGAGCGGCCAAACGGGACGGACUGUAAAUCCGUUGGCCUGUGCGCCUACGGGGGUUCAAAUCCCUCCCCCUGCA
rnacentral:tRNA from 2 species